rnacentral:rRNA from 2 species
CAACUGCAAUUGGUGGAUCACUCGGCUC